UACAGAGGUCUCAAGCGUUGUUCGGAUUCAUUGGGUCGUAAAGGGUGCGUAGGUGGCGGGGUAAGUCAGGUGUGAAAUCUCGAGGCUCAACCUCGGAAACUGCACUUGAUACUGCCUUGCUCGAGUACUGGAGAGGAGAUUGGAAUUUACGGUGUAGCAGUGAAAUGCGUAGAUAUCGUAAGGAAGACCAGUGGCGAAGGCGAAUCUCUGGACAGUUACUGACACUGAGGCACGAAGGCCAGGGGGAGCAAACGGG
rnacentral:rRNA from 1 species